AUUUGAGGCUUCUAUCUGCUCCAAAAGGAACUCUAAAUCUUCCUUAUGAAGGCACUGACAUUUAGUUUGGCACAUUUUCAGAUACUAGAAAAAGAACCAUGACUUGACAAAAAAAAAAAAAAAAAAGUUUAGUUAAUACAAAGCAGAAGAGGCAAUUAUUUCAAGCCAUUUAGAGAAUAAUUUGAACAUAAAUGUGCAAAUAUAUAAGUUUUUAGGUGCUGAGAUUUCUUUUUUUUUUCCUGUCAGUGAACACCGUGUACAUCAAGGAAGAUAAUUACAACUUUUUCAAGUCUUCUAAAAUCGACCUAACCUCUUAGGUUAUUUCCUGGCCUCCCUUCUGUGACCUUUGACCAAGGCCAACCUUUAGCUGGAGAAUGUGACAUUUUGUUCUCCUCUGGCUGACAUGUGAUGCUCUCAUUAUUCAAAGUUUUGUUCCCAAAGAUCAAUAAAUUACUCUAUAGGACAUAAUAACUCAAUGUGUAUCCUCAAAUGAAAUUGAAAUUCCUUCCAUAUACAUAAAAUCUGCAAAGGAAUUUAUUUCAGUAGGAUAAUAGUUAAUUUAUAGUGUGAAGUUCAAAAAGGCAGAAGAAGAUAACAACUCAAUUUAGGUAAAGAUGUAGCACAUAUAAGCUGGAGGAAAAUCAAUGUCAAAUAGAAAACCAUAUCUGAAAUUCAGAUCAUAUUUAGAUGCACAAAAAACUGUUCAGAGCAGUAGGGGGUGAUUGUAUAAUAGGCACUUUUCAACAUUAAAUGUCUUGGCCAAAAAUGCAUUUUAAAAUUAAGAAUCAUUUAAAUUAUACAACCACCAAAAAAAAAAAAAAAAAAAGAAAGUGUCUCUCGUCUCUGAGGUCUUUCCUGAUUCAUCAAAAUGUAUUAGGAAAGAAAAGUGACUGUCUUGGCAAAGAACCACAGUAUUUUGCUGCAUUUGUUUGUUUUUAUUAACACAACUCAUAUUUGAAAUAAAAACACAUUUUAUAGAGGAGUGCAGUGAUGUUCUCAGACAAAGUCAGACCGCAGGCUGGCAAUAUGUCAAGCUCAUCUGAGGCAAAUUCCAGUUUGUCAUGGGAAAAAAAAAGUGUUCAUUUUCUUCUGGGAUUCAAUGAAUUAAGCAAAAGCCCACUCUUUUCCUUCUGGUUUUUGCAAAUGUGUCAUCUGAUCUAAAUGGAACAGGUGUGGUGGUGUGUGCCUGUGGUCCUAGCUACUUGGGGGUAGGAGAAUCGCUUGAGCCUGUUAUGUAGAGGUUGCAGUGAGCCAAAAUUGAUUAUCUCCUUUUGAUAUCUCUGCUUAGAGGAAUACAGAAUGUGGCCACAUGUUACUCUUCUACCAAUGUCAGGAUAAAGCAUGCAUUAGGAUCCCUCAGUGGAGAACUAUGUCCAUUCCAUGCUCCUUCCAACUAGUUUGAGAAAUGGCUCCAAAUUUUCCUUAAUAUUAUUCUGAAUUGCUCUAUGAAGUAAAUGUCAGGCAUUUUAUUUCCAUUUCCCUAAAAUAGAGAAUGGGUUGCUAGGGAAAAUGCCUAAGCCAGCCAUAAAGCAUUUCCAAAGGGAGGACAUAGUGAAUAAAAAAUGUUAAUUCCUGUCUUGUUUAACAAGCUCUCAUGGCAGCUCCAAGGGGUAGUAAAAUUUAUACUCCUACCAGGACAGCUCUAGACUAUGGCAUCAGCAUGGGAUGGAAAGUAGCCCUGGGAAACAGAAUAGUGUGGUUGCCUGCUACCCUUUACUUAUCUGAAUAGUUUGUCUCUGCUGUGCCCAGGAGGUUUGCACCUCAUGGGGUGGGAGGUGGUGCAAUCAGGUAAGAAUGCUCUUUACUUACUCCUUUGUCGGAAAAAGGAUGACUGUAAUGUGUGGGCUGGAGUGGAGUGGAACUGAGUUUAAAAUCUGCAGUAACAUAAAAUUAAAGACUAGGUAUUAACAAUGGCUUUGCACUCUGAGUUGCCAUGGGCUGAGAGGGACAGCUGGACAGCCAGAGGGAUUCCAGAGGGACUUGGCAGGACAGAGCAGUGUAAGCCAUCUUACUGCCUCGAAAAACACAGGUAGGAGCACAUCAGACUUCAGUAACACAGGAUUUAUCUCAGUAUCCAUUUUUUCUGAUUCUCAGUUUUCUUAUCCAUAAAAUAGAUUAAAUAAUAUAUGCUUUGUGAGGUUCUUGUGAAGAUUAAAUGAGAUGAAAAAUGCAAAGUGCUGGAGGAACACCUGCAGGAGCUCUAUCCAUGAAAAACUGUUGGCCGGGCACGGUGGCUCACGCCUGUAAUCCCAGCACUCUGGGAGGCCGAGGCGGGUGGAUCACAAAACUGAUGAGUGUACAAGCCACACUUAAGAAUUUGUGAUCGGCCGGGCGCGGUGGCUCACGCCUGUAAUCCCAGCACUUUGGGAGGCCGAGGCGGGCGGAUCACGAGGUCAGGAGAUCGAGACCAUCCUGGCUAACACGGUGAAACCCCGUCUCUACUAAAAAUACAAAAAAUUAGCAGGGCGUGGUAGCGGGCGCCUGUAGUCCCAGCUACUCGGGAGGCUGAGGCAGGAGAAUGGCGUGAACCCGGGAGGCGGAGCUUGCAGUGAGCCGAGAUCGCGCCACUGCACUCCAGCCUGGGCGACAGAGCGAGACUCCGUCUCAAAAAAAAAACUGACAUGUCUAUAAUGAACUUCAUUGCUGCUUUUUAAAAAUUUUUCCUUUUGAUAAGAAAUUAAAGACUGAUUUCCUCUCUACAAAAGAAAAUGCCACUUUAUUCCCCAUACACACCCUCUCUCUUAGUAAAACAACUCUGAUUUUUAUAGCUGGGCAUCUUGCCACCCAGUUAAAGAUGUAUUCCCUUGCAGCUAAAUAAGGCCAAGUGACUAUGCUCUUGCCAAUAAUAUGUAAACUGAAGUGUAGCAAGGUACUUUUGGGAAGUCUCUUUAAAAAGCAUCAUUUCUUUUGUAUUUGUCCCUUCAUCUUCCUGCUACUCAAGAUGUGCAUAUAAUGGCAGGCACUUCUGUAGGCAUUUUGGAUCAUGAAAUGUCUUUGAUGGAAACUAAGAAAAGUAGAGAAACAGAAUUGAAGGUUUCACAAUUCUAAAACCUUUGUAAAAGUUUUGUAAAAGGUUUUACAAUUGAAGGUAAUUAAUAUUACACUAUUAAUUAUAGUAAAGGUCAUGCUUCUGUGGAAAAAAAAAAGAGUCCCUUGACAUGAUGGUUCAAACAAGUUAGGAAAGGCAGACUGUGCUUCUCAAAAUCAGCCAGAGAAUCAGACUGGCUGAGCACACUGCCAUCCUCAAUGCAUGGCUUCUAGAUUGCUUUAGCCUUUAUCAUUUGAAGCCAAUAGGAAGCAAGGAGAACAUCAAAGCACAUAAUUAAUGACCGAAAGCAUCCAUCACUUCUGCUCAAAUCAUUUUGGGAAUGUCAUAGUCUUCUUGAUCACACUUGAAUGCUGGGGAAGCUAAGCAGUGUAGUACAACUGGACAAUCAGUUCCUGUGUCCAAGAACUUUUUAAAGACAGUAGGGUAGAAUGCUUACUUGUAAUCAAAAAGCAGUCUCCACCAAAACUGUAGGUCUUCAUAUUCUAUCCAGAUGGUAAAAAGUUAACUUUUCUCUUGUUUAGCUUACUACACGCCGGGCCUUUAUUAUUUAUAGUUGAACAUCAUCUUCAUUGAUAUACCCCUUUUAUGUUUUUUCAAUGAACCUCAUCUGUAAAUCAUUAACUGGAUUAUUAGAUAAGUGCUAAAUAAUCCCCAGCUGUAAAAUUCUAAGAAUAAUUAAAACUUCCUUUCUUAACAUUCUUAGUGAACAACUUACAGGUUAAAAAACAAACCCAAAGAGAUUAUUUCCUGCAAAGAGCCUUUAGUAUGGUAGCACCUACUUCUAGAAGGCCUGUCAUAAACUGUCAUCUAGUGAAAGUGAUGAAGAAGAGUGGCUGGGAGUCAAUCUUAUCAGGAGCUGGAACAGGUGAAGCCCUCACCAGUGAAAAAUCUUGACAGAUGCAGCUACUAAGAUUUCCUACUACAAAGAAUAACAGCAGUUAGAAAAGCAGACUCCCUGUGGUGGCGACCAGUAUCUUCAAACUCAUACCAGAGUAAAGCCUUAUCCAUUUGGAGUUCUUUCUGAUGCAUUAUGUGAGAGAAAAACAAGCAAACAAAUGAACACUUAUUUGUAUUUGAAUUGCACUAAAUUUAUACAUGAAACUGAAAAAAACUGAUAUCUUUAUGAAGCUGCAUAAUCCUAUCCAAGGACAGACGUCUCCUUCCAUUUGCUUUUGCUUUACUAAUUUGAAUCUAUGUUAUUUGUUUUGGAUACAUCUGGAAUUGACUUUUUUGCAUGGUGUUGGUUUCUUCAACUUAUUCCACAAGAGUGAACAAGUAAGAAAUAACAGUUCUUCCUGGAUCAGCCCUCUCCCGUCUGUCAUCUCCAACAGAUACAAAGCCAGCUUUAAGAAGACCAAACCUACAAAAAUCAUUCAUGCUUUCUGCCUCCAUGUUUUUCUUUCCAACCUAGUUCCUCCAGAAAAUGUAAAAGAGCAACCGAACCGUCAACUGGUACAAUGACUUCUACACAUCAGACCUCGGCCACGCCACAGUCAUCAGAUUAUUCUAUCACAGGGUCUCUCAACCGUGGAAUAUGGUCUCCAAGGGAAACAAGCCACAGAGGGCUCAGGAGCAUUGCUAUAAAGAGUAGGCAAAUGGAAAUCUUUCCCCAAAGGGCACACUGGGAUUGUUAGGCGAGGGCUGCUCAAUCCAUUAAAAGUUUAAACUCGAAAAAAAAAAAGAAAAAAAAAACCUUUUGAAAAAAUACAGAAAGCAACCUGUUCUAGAUUUUGUGUAUAAAAGAGAGUUUAUUCAGGGGACUGAAAUGUUGACAGUGAAUCAACUGGGAGGAUAUUUUCAAUCAGAACCGUCUGACUGACAGCUUUCAUAUUAUUAAUGCACAUACUAGGAGACAUCAAAUUUGAAGGGCAGGCAUUGUGCUAAGUCAGACUUCUACCUUAAAAUGCAUUACAUUUUGUCUGUAAAUCAAGGUCAGUUAUUAAAUUAAGGUGCUCUCAUCCCUAAAUACUUUAUUCCAUCAUCGUGUGUAAUUAAUCACAAACCCCUUACUUGGGGUUCUUUAGAAAGUGAUGAGCAAAACCCAUAAAAAAUUAAGAGAAAAAAUAACAGGUAUCUUUUAAAAAACAGGGAAUAAGUGCAAGGAAAUUUAAGUAUAAGUAAAAAAAUUUGCACGAUUCUUUAAAUAGAUAAUAGAUAUAAUAAUAAUAAUUUUGCAGCCCUACAAUUCCACAGCAUAUUAAUCUUUUCAAAUCUGUUAUUUUUCACCAUUAAAACAAUCAUGUAAAACAGGUGGAGUACUUCAAUAUUCCAAUUUCACAGAUGCAUACACUGAGUCAAGGAAAAGUUAAGUAUCUAUUAAGUCAUCCAGCUUACUGGAUAUGGAACUGAGACUUGAAAGCAUAUCUUCUAAAUCCGACCUCUUCUCUAAAGAUAGUGUCACCUUUCUCCAAAGAUAGUGUCAGGACAUAGAAAGCAGAAGUUAAACUGUAUGCGCUAUUCUGCCUUCCAUACUUAUUUUUCCCAAGAAGUAAUUUAAAAAACACAUUGGAGAUAAUGCUUGUGAAGCACUUUGCUAAAUGCUAAAUUGUCCGAACACUUUGGAAAAAAGUGGCAGUUUCUUAAAAAAUUAACAAAGAAUUACCAUAUGACCCAGCAAUUCCACUCCUAGCCAUGUACUGAGGAGAACUGAAAAUAUAUGUCCAUGUAAAAACUUAGAGUUAAAUAUUUGUAGCAGCUUUAUUUAAAA
rnacentral:lncRNA from 1 species